ACCCUGGCAUCGGAUCCGGGUCUCAGCCCCGAAUGACGGCCGACCUGCCAUCUUUGUGUGGGGCGUGGGGCUGGAAGAGAUUACCGAAGAUCAGUUGGGACGGUCCCCACCUCCGGAGAUGUUGCACGGACUCGUAGAAGCGAGCACCUUCGUGUGUUACUCCAGAGAGGAAGUGAUUUAUUUCUCCCAGGGUACAGCGAGGGCAGGGACUCCAAAACAAAGCUGGCUUCAAAUCAGAUUCACCGCUUCCUAGUAUGAAGAAAUCACUCCCUACUUGACAGUAUCCUCCGCGAGUUAACACCCAGUUCUGGAACAGAGAAGUCGGGUGGCAGUUGCUCCCCGACAGGUGCCCACUGGAACUGGGGUUAACAGUUGUGAGCUGCCAUGUGGGUGCUGAGAAUUGAACCCGAAUCCGUUGGAAGAGCAGCCAGUGCUUCCGCCCUCUCUCCAGCUCCUCGCCCGUGCCCGCUGUUAUGGUGGAGGUUCCACCCCAGCCCCCUUCCCUAUCUCUCUCCAAACCUUAUCUCAGAAAGCCCGCCAAAUGAUGACCUCCCCCUCCCCCCAGAAGUUCAAGACCACUCCCACGGGGUAUUUAAACUGUCCCCAGGAAAAAAGACCCGUGAUUUUCCGGGUCUCUCUCCCGUCUCCUCUUGGGACAGGGCGUGGGGAGGUGGGGGGGGGGCUGUAUCCAUUAAACAUGGGCUUUUGCUAAUUCGGUUUAUUUGGUCUGAUUUGGAUUGCUGCAUCCGCGGACAGGCUUAUCAGGGUGCAGAAACUUUUCAUCCUUCUGAGGGAGCCUUCUGGUCUGUGCGUGAGAGUUCGCCUGCGGAUGACUUGCUAGCAGUGUCUUUCCCUAAGAGGAAAAUGGUCUGCUGUGUGUCAACUGACUGUCCCCUGAGGAAUGGGCCCAGUAGCCUAAUCUCUGAUUCCAAUUAUCUGUCAACAGACCUGAAUUAAACCUGAGGAGGGCCUUACAGGGUAGAUGGCA